CACAUCUAAGGGGCAUUGCAAUUCUUCCUUUGCCUAGGAAUAAGAGGAAUUGGAUAUGGUUCAAUAUAAACUAGUCAUUGGCUUGGAUAGCUUGAAAGAUACCAAGAUUUUGACUGUAACAGGUUUGUUGUAACUGAGCAUCAAGGAGGGAAAAGAUACUAGACUUAAACUUUCCAUAUGAGUUAAAUCCUAUAAGGACCUGAAUCUUAAUUUGAAUCUUAUAGACAUAGAAUGGGGGGAAAAGGGAAGAAAAGGGGGAAGGUUGGAGAGGAAGAUGGCAGGGUUUUUGUUGAGCACCUGCUCUCAAUCUGGAGAGCAGAAUUAAAGCUGUCAACAGAAGACAUCUAGAAUUGUGAUGUAGGGGAAAAAAAGGAAGAUGAGAUGAAUCAUCAUAGUUGGCAACCCAGGAUACUGAGGCAUUUAUCUGUUGGCCUGAUACUAGCAACAGAGAGGUCUGUUGUUUUCCUGGGGUGAGUUUUAAGGGUAUAAUGAGAAAACUCCUAAGAUUUGUUAAAUCUGAUGCUUUCUAACCACACCUGAUGAUCCACAUGGGAAAAAAAAAAGAUAUAUCCAGAAGAAUCCAGAAAAGAAUACUAAGGAUUAUGAAAUAAUCAGUAAGAAACUGAAUGCCAAAGUUGGGAUAUAUGCACUGUUGGUGGAGCUGUGAACUGAUCCAACCAUUCUGGAAGGACCAAAAUUAAGUACACUGGACUGGUUCCUGGGUCUUCCAUAUGUCAAAGCUGCUUGCAAAUUGGUACUGAUGGAGGGUAUCCACAGAAAGCCCUGGAUUCUUCUCUCUCUAUUGAAUGGGGGAUCUCUUCUGUCGAGACAUUCCAAUCAUAUUCAGACAGAAAUGAAGUCUCCUUCUCCAUCCCCACAAACCCUGAGUGACUACAGCCAAACAGCUUCCCGAAUAUUACCUGGCAGGAAACCAGGAUCAUGUCCCCUUCCUCAGCCUUCUUCAGCCCCUCAGACUUGGCCUGAUUGAAUCUGUUGGCCUUGGGGGCCCAAGGGACCCGGCUGUUGCGGAGCUUGGAAAGGUUGGUCUCCAUGAGGCGUCUUUGUAGGAUGUUGUGAGGUUGCUUGAGGAAGACAAAGAAGAAGCAUUUAGACAUUCGCCUGCCAACUCGUCCCACUGGUCACCUUCCUCCUCACUACCCUCAAGCCCACUGUAUUCAGGUAUUAAAGCCAAUGGCACAGGCCCAGAGUCUCAAUGAAAUCUGCAAGUUCAUAAAAAUAACUAACUAUA